rnacentral:rRNA from 1 species
GGUUAUACCAAGUGAUUAAGUUAUAUCUUUAGGUAAAAAGACAGUUAGGUCUAGAAUUAAUUUAGUUUAUUAACCACCUAUAAAAAGGUAAAAUUUGUAUAUAGGUAGCUAAUCUAAUAAUGGCUAUACUACGCUGAAGCUGUGAUAGUCUUGAGGGAAACUGGGAUUAGAUACCCCAUUAUUCUUGACUGUAAAUAUAAUGAAAUUUACCAGAGUACUAUGAAUAGUUAAAAAUUUAAAACUCAAAGGGCUUGGCGGUGUUUUAGACCCAUCAGGGGAACCUGUCUCGUAAUCGACAAUCCACGUUAUAUCUAACCUCAUUUUGUAUUCAGUUUGUAUACCGUCGUCGUCAGGUAACUUUUAAAAAUGGAGAAGUUAGCACCAAAAAUUAUGUAAAUUAAGACGUCAGAUCAAGGUGCAGCCUAUAAUGAGGAGAGGAUGGGUUACAAUUAUUAAAUUUAUAACUACGGAAAUUUAAAUGAAAUUAUAUUUAGAAGGAGGACUUGAAAGUAAACUAAAAUAUAUAAAUAGUUUGAAUAAGGCUCUG